AAGGAUCAUUGUCGUACCCUGGAAUUAGAACGACCUGAGAACGAUGAAACAUCACUCUCGGUAGGCCGGUUUCUUAUUGUGCCUACCGAUUCCGUGUUUAUGCGUUCAUCCAUUCCCAAGACUUCAGUUUUGGUUGGAUCGUACGCAUAGCUUCCGGAUAUCACCAAACCCCAGCACGAAAAGUGUCAAGGAAAAUGCAACUAAACAGCCUGCUUUCGCCAACCCGGAGACGGUGUUUGUUCGGAAGCAGUGCUGCAAUGUAAAGUCUAAAACGACUCUCGGCAAUGGAUAUCUCGGCUCUCGCAUCGAUGAAGAACGUUGCAAAAUGCGAUACUUGGUGUGAAUUGUAGAAUCCCAUGAACCAUUGAGUCUUUGAACGCAAGUUGCGCCCCAAGCCUUCUGGCCGAGGGCACGUCUGCCUGAGUAUCACAAAUCAUCGUACCCCCAUCCUCUUGAGGAUAUGGGACGGAAGCUGAUCUCCCGUGUGUUACCGCAUGCGGUUGGCCAAAAUCUGAGCUAACGACGCCAGGAGCGUCUUGACAUGCGCUGGUGAAUUCAAUUUUCAUCAUAUAGUCAGACGUUCCGGUCCAAAAGGUAUUGAUGACCCGAAGUCCUCAACGCGACACCAGGUAAGGCGGGAUCACCCGCUGAGUUUAA
rnacentral:rRNA from 1 species